UCUCUAUCAAGGUGAUAUUUUAUUUUUGAAGUAUUUUAAUUUGUCAUUUGAUUUCAUUACAGAAUUUCUGCUAGACUAUCUUGGGCUGCAUAGAAUAUAAGAAUAUGAGAUAAGUAAUAAAACAGUAAAUUGGAAAUUUGUCUUUUUAAAAAUAAAACAAAUUCUGUUUUGACCUAGUUCAGAGACUUCUGUGGCUAAAUAUGAUCUGUUCAUCAACAGUCUUAGAAGAAUCCUCAAAGAAAAAGUCCUUGGCAUUGGAGGACCUGAUCAUAAUAUGGGUGCCGGACUUUCCAACGAGAUGGCUUAAUCUCCAUCCACAGGGAUAGCACCCUGUUUGAAGGCCAAGGAAGAGACCUGGAGCCAGCAAACAAAACAUAUGGUCUAUUGAAAGGACUUACAGAGAAUUACAAGUGGAAUAAAAGGCAGGCUGUUUUCAGUCCCUGAUGAGUAAAUGUAGCAUUGAGAGAUGUGGUUGGCUGAGGAUAGAAUAUCUGGUACAUCAGUGUGAGCUGGUUGACAUGAGAAGGACUUGCUGUUUGAAUGAAAAACCUCAAAGCUGAAGCUGAGUUUAUCAACUGCCCAGAAAGAAGGAGGAGGAUACUUACAGAAAUCUAAUGAUUUUGAGACAUGCACUACCUCAAAAAUUUUAUUUUACGCACUAUUUGGUUGAUGUGUUGUGUGAAGAUCUUUCAUAGCAUCUAAUCAGGUAUAAUUCCUGAAUGACACUGAGUUUUAUAAUUUUUCUCCCACCCUAUUCUCACUAUAUAUGAAAUCCUUGAUUCUCCAUACUCCACUUGUUUUUAAUAUCAAUACACAUUUUUCUCCUAAUGUAUCACUCUAAUUGGCAAUAGCCACAUGACCUAGACUAGAAUAUUACUUAAAAUAUUUUGACUGUUAUAAUUAAAAGGUAAUUAUUUUUAUAAUUUGUGACUGCAAGUCAAUUUCACAGAGCAUGUACCAUGCCUUGAGAUUGGGGAAUAAUACAUUUUUGAAAAUUUAAGAAAAACAUCUAAUUUUGUUAUUAAAUAAAGAAUUACAUUCAAC
rnacentral:lncRNA from 1 species